rnacentral:rRNA from 1 species
UACGUAGGGGGCAAGCGUUGUCCGGAUUUAUUGGGCGUAAAGGGCGCGCAGGCGGCGCUUCAAGUCCGUUGUGAAAUUUCAGGGCUUAACCCUGACGGGGCAACGGAAACUGAAGGGCUAGAGUGCAGCAGAGGAAAGCGGAAUUCCCGGUGUAGUGGUGAAAUGCGUAGAUAUCGGGAGGAACACCAGAGGCGAAAGCGGCUUUCUGGGCUGUAACUGACGCUGAGGCGCGAAGGCUAGGGGAGCAAACAGG